GUGAAUCAUCGAAUCUUUGAACGCACAUUGCACUCUCUGGUAUUCCGGAGAGUAUGCCUGUUUGAGGGUCAGUUUAAAUAAAAAUCGGUGUGGUUUCUGCCUUUCGAGGUGACGCACCGGAUUUCGGUCGUCGUGCCUUCGGUUAAGUGACCUACAAUCUGCCACGAUUUUUUCCGAACGUAUUUCAAUGAUUUU
rnacentral:misc_RNA from 1 species